AGAGUUUGAUCCUGGCUCAGGACGAACGCUGGCGGCGUGCCUAACACAUGCAAGUCGAACGGAGAUGUAAUUUCGGUUAUAUCUUAGUGGCGAACGGGUGAGUAACGCGUGAGCAACCCGACUCUUAGAGGGGGAUAACACCCGGAAACGAGUGCUAAUACCGCAUAAGACCACGACAUGGCAUCAUGACGAGGUCAAAGGAGCAAUCCGCUGAGAGAGGGGCUCGCGUCCCAUUAGAUAGAUGGCGGGGUAACGGCCCACCAUGUCAACGAUGGGUAGCCGAGCUGAGAGGCUGAUCGGCCACAC
rnacentral:rRNA from 1 species